AUCCAGCUGACGAGUCCCAAAUAAGACGAAAAGCGCGUCCUGGAU
rfam:Schistosoma rodhaini strain Burundi genome assembly, scaffold: SROB_scaffold0002685